AUGUGCUACCAGAAAAUGGUUUGCCUUUUUGUUUUAAACAUAAGGAAUCAAUGUAACGCCUUAUACCUGAUAACCUGUGCUGUUGUAUUUGGUCCUCCCUACAACUCUGUCCAUAGAUAUUAUUGUUGCCACUUUAUAGAUGAAAAAACGGAAGCAAAACCAUUAAGUGCCUUCCCCAAGGUCUUAAAAGAAGUCACCAAGAAGGUGGUGUGGCUCAAGUCUCCUGACUCCAGUUUACUAUUUCCCACAAUAAUGUUGGAAAACCACAUUGGAACGGGAAGACUCAUUCCAAGUACUGCUGUCACACCAGCAAGCUUCAAAGAGGACUUCCACACAGAACCCGUCCACCUAAGGGACUCGUGUCUACAUCCUGAUUCUCAGGGUCUUGGAGCCACUGCUACCUUUAGGCAACUCUCCUUCUCUCACCCCAGCACUUGUGUCAACCCCUAUCUCCUCUCUCCUUGGAGCAGCCAGCUAAAGUCUCCUCCCACAUGAG
rnacentral:lncRNA from 1 species